AAAAGAGUGCGUAACAGCUCACUGGUCGAGAGGUCCUGCGCCGAAAAUGUCCGGGGCUGAAACACCACACCGAAGCCGCGGAACCCGUAAGGGUUGGUAGAGGAGCAUUCUUAGGGGAGCGAAGCAUUACCGUAAGGGGAUGUGGACUGCUAAGAAGAGAGAAUGCCGGAAUGAGUAGCGAGAGCAAGGUGAGAAUCCUUGCGGCCGAAUAUCCAAGGUUUCCAGAGUAAAGCUGAUCUGCUCUGGGUAAGUCGGGGCCUAAGGAGAGGCAGAGAUGCGUAUCCGAUGGACAGCAGGUUUAAGAUUCCUGCACCCCUUGUUAUCAGAACUGCGGGGACACGGGAAGGGAAGCAGAGCCGGGAAUGGAAAGCCCGGUGCAAGCGAAGGAGUCGCAGGGUUGGAAAAUCCGCCCUGCAUGAGACAAAGGCGUGAUGCGGAGCGAAAUGAAGUAGUGAAGCUGCGGCCCCUUCCUGUCGAGAAAAGCCGCUAUCGUGUAGCAAGGGCCCGUACCGUAAACCGACACAGGUGGAUGAGGAGAGGAUCCUAAGGCCGGCGGGAGAAGUGUUGUUAAGGAACUCGGCAAAAUGACUCCGUAACUUCGGGAGAAGGAGUGCUGCGCAAGCAGCCGCAGAGAAAUGACCCAAGCAACUGUUUAGCAAAAACACAGGUCUAUGCGAAACCGGAAGGUGAGGUAUAUGGGCUGACGCCUGCCCGGUGCUGGAAGGUUAAGGGGAGAGCUUAGCGCAAGCGAAGGUUUGAACUUAAGCCCCAGUAAACGGCGGCCGUAACUAUAACGGUCCUAAGGUAGCGAAAUUCCUUGUCGGGUAAGUUCCGACCCGCACGAAAGGCGUAAUGAUUUGGGCACUGUCUCAACAACACACCCGGUGAAAUUGAAAUACCAGUGAAAAUGCUGGUUACCCGCGCCAGGACGGAAAGACCCCAUGGAGCUUUACUCCAGCCUGAUACUGGGAUUCGGUAUUGCAUGUACAGGAUAGGUGGGAGGCUAAGAACUCAUGGCGCCAGCCGUGAGGGAGCCGGUGUUGGGAUACCACCCCUGCAGUACUGGGUUUCUAACCUGCGCCCGUGACCCGGGCGGGGGACAAUGUCAGGCGGGGAGUUUGACUGGGGCGGUCGCCUCCGAAAGGGUAUCGGAGGCGCUCAAAGGUCUCCUCAGGAUGGUUGGAAACCAUCCAGAGAGUGCAAAGGCAGAAGGAGGCUUGACUGCGACACCGACGGGUGGAGCAGGUACGAAAGUAGGACUUAGUGAUCCGGUGGCAUAAAGUGGGAUUGCCAUCGCUCAACGGAUAAAAGCUACCCUGGGAUAACAGGCUUAUCACUCCCAAGAGUUCACAUCGACGGAGUGGUUUGGCACCUCGAUGUCGGCUCAUCGCAUCCUGGAGCUGGAGCAGGUUCCAAGGGUUGGGCUGUUCGCCCAUUAAAGCGGUACGCGAGCUGGGUUCAGAACGUCGUGAGACAGUUCGGUCCCUAUCCGGCGCGGGCGCAGGAUAUCUGAGAGGAGCUGUCCUUAGUACGAGAGGACCGGGAUGGACCGUCCGCUGGUGGACCGGUUGUCAUGCCAAUGGCACGGCCGGGUAGCCAAGACGGGAAGGGAUAAACGCUGAAGGCAUCUAAGCGUGAAGCCCCCCUCAAGAUGAGAUAUCCAUACUCGAAAGAGUGAGAGACCCCUUAGAGACGAUGAGGUAGAUAGGGCAGGGAUGGAAGCACAGCGAUGUGUGGAGUUGACUGUUACUAAUCGGUCGAUAGCUUGACU
rnacentral:rRNA from 1 species